AGCGGGGUGGGGCAGCCUGGUCAGCCCGCCGGGCUCAUAACCCGGAGGUCGGUGGUUCAAAUCCACCCCCCGCUACCA
rnacentral:tRNA from 1 species